rnacentral:rRNA from 1 species
GACGAACGCUGGCGGCGUGCUUAACACAUGCAAGUCGAACGGAAAGGCCCUGCUUUUGUGGGGUGCUCGAGUGGCGAACGGGUGAGUAACACGUGAGUAACCUGCCCUUGACUUUGGGAUAACUUCAGGAAACUGGGGCUAAUACCGGAUAGGAGCUCCUGCUGCAUGGUGGGGGUUGGAAAGUUUCGGCGGUUGGGGAUGGACUCGCGGCUUAUCAGCUUGUUGGUGGGGUAGUGGCUUACCAAGGCUUUGACGGGUAGCCGGCCUGAGAGGGUGACCGGCCACAUUGGGACUGAGAUACGGCCCAGACUCCUACGGGAGGCAGCAGUGGGGAAUAUUGCACAAUGGGCGGAAGCCUGAUGCAGCAACGCCGCGUGCGGGAUGACGGCCUUCGGGUUGUAAACCGCUUUCGCCUGUGACGAAGCGUGAGUGACGGUAAUGGGUAAAGAAGCACCGGCUAACUACGUGCCAGCAGCCGCGGUGAUACGUAGGGUGCGAGCGUUGUCCGGAUUUAUUGGGCGUAAAGGGCUCGUAGGUGGUUGAUCGCGUCGGAAGUGUAAUCUUGGGGCUUAACCCUGAGCGUGCUUUCGAUACGGGUUGACUUGAGGAAGGUAGGGGAGAAAUGGAAUUCCUGGUGGAGCGGUGGAAUGCGCAGAUAUCAGGAGGAACACCAGUGGCGAAGGCGGUUCUCUGGGCCUUUCCUGACGCUGAGGAGCGAAAGCGUGGGGAGCGAACAGGCUUAGAUACCCUGGUAGUCCACGCUGUAAACGGUGGGUACUAGGUGUGGGGUCCAUUCCACGGGUUCCGCGCCGUAGCUAACGCUUUAAGUACCCCGCCUGGGGAGUACGGCCGCAAGGCUAAAACUCAAAGGAAUUGACGGGGCCCCGCACAAGCGGCGGAGCAUGCGGAUUAAUUCGAUGCAACGCGUAGAACCUUACCUGGGUUUGACAUGGAUCGGGAGUGCUCAGAGAUGGGUGUGCCUCUUUUGGGGUCGGUUCACAGGUGGUGCAUGGCUGUCGUCAGCUCGUGUCGUGAGAUGUUGGGUUAAGUCCCGCAACGAGCGCAACCCUUGUUCACUGUUGCCAGCACGUUAUGGUGGGGACUCAGUGGAGACCGCCGGGGUCAACUCGGAGGAAGGUGGGGAUGACGUCAAGUCAUCAUGCCCCUUAUGUCCAGGGCUUCACGCAUGCUACAAUGGCUGGUACAGAGAGUGGCGAGCCUGUGAGGGUGAGCGAAUCUCGGAAAGCCGGUCUCAGUUCGGAUUGGGGUCUGCAACUCGACCUCAUGAAGUCGGAGUCGCUAGUAAUCGCAGAUCAGCAACGCUGCGGUGAAUACGUUCCCGGGGCUUGUACACACCGCCCGUCAAGUCAUGAAAGUUGGUAACACCCGAAGCCGGUGGCCUAACCGUUGUGGGGGAGCCGUCGAAGGUGGGACUGGUGAUUAGG